rnacentral:ncRNA from 2 species
AUACCUAUCAAAUAUUUUUCUCGUAUAAUCUUGGAAAUAUGGUCCAAGAGUUUCUACCAAACUGCCGUAAAUAGUUGGACUACGAGGAGAGAACUGGUAUGU